ensembl:lncRNA LOC120103116 uncharacterized LOC120103116
CUUACUCUAAAGUUAGCACCACUCUUCCUUUGCCCUGAUUGAUUGUACAAUGUGGACUAGUGUUGGACAGGACUAACCUCCAAAACAAACAACUGCCAUCUUUAGGAGUAUAAACCUGCUUCCCUGCAAAAGAUUAAUACAGCUGGGCUUGUUGAUUGAUGGCGUUCCCUCAUUGAAAUGAGCAAAUGGAUCCUCAAAGAAGCUUUACAGCUGAUCCAGUAGUACAAUCAACAAGAGGGAGUGGAAGCGUCUCCCCCUGCUUUGUCUCUUUCCCAUGCCUCUGCCACCUUGGUGCAAUGAUCUAGCUGCUUGGCAGGAAGCACAGUUCCUGAGGCAUGUCA